rfam:Triticum aestivum genome assembly, contig: Triticum_aestivum_CS42_TGACv1_scaffold_640763_T_5DL-0.089513_1AL-0.060792
AAGAUACUCUCUCCAUUCUGAAUUACUUGUUUUGGAUUUGUCUAUAUACGGAUGUAUCUAGCACUAAAAUGAGUCUAGAUACAUGCAUAUCUAGACAAAUCCAAGACAAGUAAUUCGGAACGGAGGGAGUAGUUG